UAUCUCUGUAGAGUCUGCAUAUCAAUAAGCGGAGGAAAAGAAACUAACAAGGAUUCCCUUAGUAACGGCGAGUGAAGCGGGAAGAGCUCAAAUUUGGAAAUCUUCAAGGUUCUACCUUGACGAAUUGUAGUUUAUAGAAGUGUUUUCUGUUAGUAGAGUGGCAAAAGUUCUUUGGAAUAGGACAUCAUAGAGGGUGAGAAUCCCGUAUUUGGUCAUUCUUUCUAGCUUUGUGAUACACUUUCAACGAGUCGGAUUGUUUGGGAAUGCAGUCCAAAAUGGGUGGUAAAUUUCAUCUAAAGCUAAAUAUUGGCGAGAGACCGAUAGCGAACAAGUACCGUGAGGGAAAGAUGAAAAGAACUUUGAAAAGAGAGUUAAACAGUACGUGAAAUUGUCAAAAGGGAAGCGUUUGACACCAGUGUUGUUUUCUCGAAAAUCAAUUAAGAAAGGCUGAUUUUGUGUUGAAGUAUUGACUUUAUCAGGCUUCUGCACUCUUUCUUGUAACUUUUUAAUGCACUUUUCGGUUAACAAGUCAACAUCAAUUUCUUUUGUUGUAAAAGGGUACGAUUGGAAGGUGGCUUUCUUUUCGGAGAAGGUGUUUAUAGCCUUUGGCCUCUGCAAUCGGAGAGAUUGAGGUCUGCAGCGUAGAUCCUUCGGGGUUAGAUACAUUUGUGCUAAGUUAUAGCCUUUCAUAGACAACUUGUUGACUAUGAUCAGUCAUGUAGCUUACUCGCUUAUGCUAUUUUACCUACGCUUAGGAUGUUGAUGUGAUACUGCGAGCA
rnacentral:rRNA from 1 species